AAGGAUCAUUAAUAUUUGAGUCGGGGUUGUUCUUUAGUGUUUUCUGUUCGGUUCUUUUUUGUGUCUUUUAUUAAGAGGAGCAACUCUGACACAAAUAUUUUGAACUGUAUUUUUCGUUCCCAUUUUAUGGGAAGGAGCAAGAUGGACAUAUUUAAAACCCAACUCUUUAAAUGUUUUUAUAACUAUUGUGUAUUUUAAAUAAAAAAGAUCACUUUCAACAACGGAUCUCUUGGCUCUC
rnacentral:misc_RNA from 1 species